rnacentral:rRNA from 1 species
AUUCCAGCUCCAAUAGCGUAUAUUAAAGUUGUUGCGGUUAAAAAGCUCGUAGUUGGAUUUCUGUCGAAAAUGGGCGGUCCUCACUACGUGGGUGUAUUGUUUCAGUUUCGGCAUCCUCAUGGGGAACGUUGCUGCGCUUGAUUGCGUGGCGCGGUAUCCAUGACUUUUACUUUGAGGAAAUUAGAGUGUUCACGGCAGGCAAUCGCCUUGAAUAUAUUAGCAUGGAAUAAUAAUAUAGGAUCUUGGUUCUAUUUUGUUGGUUUCUAGAGCUAAGAUAAUGAUUAAUAGGGAUAAUUGGGGGUCUUUGUAUCAUGGCGUCAGAGGUGGAAUUCUUGGAUUGCCAUGCGACAAACUACUGCGAAAGCAUUGACCAAGGAUGUUUUCAUUA